rnacentral:misc_RNA from 1 species
AACGCACCUUGCGCUCCCUGGCAUUCCGGGGAGCAUGUCUGUUUGAGUGUCAUGAACUCUUCAACCCACCAGUUUCUUGUAAACUGAUUGGUGUUUGGAUUUUGAGCGUUGCUGGAUCUUCGGAUCGUUAGCUCGUUCGUAAUAUAUUAGCAUCUCUAAUUCGAAAUCGGAUUGACUCAGUGUAAUAGACUAUUCGCUGAGGACACGGGCUUUAUUUGCUUGUGGCCGAAUGAGAUAUCAGUAGAAGCUCCUAACUACAGUAGUCAACUUUAGAUUAGACCUCAGAUCAGGCAGGAUUACCCGCUGAACUUAA